AACGCUUCUUUUAACACUGGCAGACAGUAAAUAUGUGCAGGAACAAAACUAUUUGGACCCAUUCUUUGUAUUAUUGCUCUAAUAUAUGGGUCACACCUCUAUUAUAAUGAUGGUACACAAGAUUUCAGUUGAUGGUACAAAUAGCAGUACUCAAUUUAGUGUCAAAUAAUAGGAUUAAUUGAAUGACAUCAGCUCUUACCUGGAUAUAAACG
rnacentral:lncRNA from 1 species